rnacentral:misc_RNA from 1 species
GGCUGUAUUGGAAAACUCCUCAAUUUCAGACAUGUUGGCAAGAGAAGCAUACUGAAAUGUUGCUCAGAAGUACAUCAAAAAAGCCUACUGUAUGUAGAGGUAGUGACAAAAAGGUGAGAAAUAGGUGACGGGACCAACGUUGUUGAGGUCGCCUAAGGCCGGCGAGUCGACGGGAAGAAGCGCUGGUGAGAGACGGUCGUCAGAGAGGGCUCACGCACCGACUAGUGUGACGGCGGGAUGACGGCGCGUGAAGGCGCGUGUACUGGAGUCUUUCGCUGGCGGUAAGUGGAGAGGCUGAUCCUGGGCUGGGUUAUCCACUAGGUUAGGCUGUGACAGCCACGGACUCCUAGAAAGUGACCGGAAAAAGAGAGAGUUCCUCCCUAUGAGGACUUUGU